UUUUCUCCAGCCGUGGUCCUACGGGCGCACGUGAGCUCCGCUGCGGUGGCCUCGCCCUCCUUCAAAGCCGUGCCGACUCUACUUCCUUUUCUCCCUCUCUCAUUCCCUUCUUCUUCCUCCAGCCAAGAAGAAAAUCGAGCUGGGCAGUUACCAUCCGUCGGGAAAAUCCGCCCUUCUCUAGCCACCGCAGCCCAAUAGCUCGCACCCUCAGCUUGACCACCUCCCCAACUCCCACCUCCGCCACUUCUUGACGAGCUCCAGCCACCUUGCGGGCACGAGUUGAGGAUCCCGUGGCCGCCGUUGCCGCCGGUCCCGAGCUCGUGGAGCAUCACCGUCCAAGCCACCCCCAACGUCGAGAACAACUCAAACGGAACCCAGUAAGCUCCUAGUGCCCAUGCGCCUGCAUCCUCCAUCUUUCUACCGCCACUGCUGCCGGAAAACACCGCGCCGUGCGUGGGCGUACCGCUCCCAAUUUCACCGUGCUAUGUCUUCUCGCCAGCUGCGCCCUAGGCCUCUCCUCUCUCGACAGCGCCGCACCUCACCUGGGCCCCUCCUCUCCCGACGGCUCUCCUUCUCCCUUUCUCCGGCGCGGGAGGGUGCGGGAGCGCGAGCUCUGCCGCCGCCGCCCCAACCAUCGGCGAGGCUCCGAUCUGUGUACCGCCGGGAGGAAGAAGAUGUUGACGAGUGGGGUCCGCUUGUCAGUGAGGAAGGGAGGGAGUUGAGUGGGGUGGAUUGUGAAUGACAUGUGGGGUCCACUCAUAAUACCAAAUGGCUUUCAGUUUUCUCAGAUAACAGCUUUUCCACAACCCUCAGUUCACAACUAUUUUUUCAAAAGCCACACCUCAACCAAACACACCCUAAGGGCACACGAUGGUCCAACGGAGUAGAAAUGAUGUGGACCGUUAUAUUGAGAUUGAGCAGCUCUUAUUCGUCGACCGUGAUUAAUAAACACCUAACAGGAAGACGACCUAUAUUUGGACCGUUGAACGUUUCAACAAAGGCAGCAAAUCGAAGACGGUCGACGAGAUGCAGGCGGGCUGAAGUCAGUUAUUAUUGAGAUCCGCAAAUAGUUAAUGCGCCCCAUGCAUCGGUAGGCUACGCCCUGCCGGCGGCUAUAGAUGUCCAUGCAGCCCGCAGCCCGACAGCCCGGCACGAAGCCCGAUUUUUUAGCCCAUCCAAGCUCGGCCCAGCUCGUAACUCCUCGAGCUCAGGCUAGCCGACCCGAUGGCUCGUGCCGGGCGUGGGCUAGUGCCUCGGCCCGACGGGCGGCACGGCCCAGCACAAAAUCGAAUGGCCAUCCCGUUACCGGCCCGUCUAUCAAAUGGUCGCCUGGCGGCCUGGCACAACCUAGCAACGAUCGGGAGUGGGGACAUAUAUAACUAACCCCCCCUCCCCAGUUCUCGGUCGCGCCCCCUCCGUAGACCCUACCCCUCGUCCCUUCCGCCCGCUGCCUCCUCGCGACCUCGCCUCGACUCCUCUGCUCCCGGCUCCUCGCCUCCUCCCGUCCCGCACCCGCAGUCCCUCUCCGCGCCUCCGCGUCCCAGUUGCCUUGCCGCCAGCCGCCGCCACCACCCGCUGCUCUCUCUCUCUCUGCCUCUCUCAGCUUCGGCUGGAUCCGCCAGCACCAUCGCACCGCUGGCCCGCUGCUCUCGUUCUCCUGAUCUAGAUCUAGAUCCUCCUGAUCCUCUUCUUGUUCUCCUGAUCUUGUUCCUGUUGUCCUCUCUAGCUCCGGGCUGCAGCGUCGCUGGUUAGUUGUAGAUGCUCCUAAUCCUCUUCUUGUUCUCCUAGAUCUAGAUCAUCCUGAUCCUCUUCUUGGAGGUAUCCGUCGACCGUCGGGUGGCGGGUGCCGCGCGCCAUUGAGGAGGGACGGAGCGGCUGUGGUGUCACGACCGUUGGCCUUCGUCCUCUCACAGAUCCUCUAGGCAUCUCAUCAUCCCGUCAUCUUCUCCUGCUCCUGGCUCCAGUGUCGCAGGUAUCUGUCGGGUGUCGCGCGCUAGGGAUGGAGCGGUUGAGGAGCGGUUGAGGGACGCCGAAGGAAGCUAUCGCCUGCCACACGAGGUCAUCGUGAUGGACGAGAACUACACCAUCAAUGACGACCUAAGGGCUUGUGGGCUGCCACGCGCACCAUUGUUCCUGAUCCUCUUUUUAUUCUCCUGAUCUUGUUCUGAUCCUAACCCUCUUCUUGUUCCUAAUCUUGUUCUUCUUGUUCUCAUAGGCGACGAUGAGGACGACAUGGCUGCCGGAGCCGUGGCACUCUUCAGUAGCUUUGUUGCUCCCGUCAAUGUGGAUGCUGCCGGUGUUGGAGGUUCUACCCCAUCUUCUACGCCGACUACCUCAACGGGCACCAGUGUCCGCAAGGGGAAGUGACGAUCUGCUGCAUGGAACGACUUUGAGGAGUUGUUCUAGGAAGGCGCCAAUGGGAAGCAGGUGAGGGUGAUCGAGAAGAGGUGUCGGCGGUUGUUGCCGGAGACGGUGGAGAUGCUGACCUGCCUCAAGGAUUGGGAGUUGGGAGAUGCAAGGGCACAACCUGAUGUUGAGAAGGAGAUCAAUGAACUAAGGAAAUAUACAGAAGCCCCUACCAAGACCAAGAUGAAGGCCAAGCUAGUCAAUCUACCCCGGGAGCAAGCUGAAGCUGAACCCUAUUCUAUUGGAUUGUUGCCUGACUGCCUGUUGGUGUUCUAAUUCUAUACUUCUAUGUCUGUCUGUGUGUGUCUGUAAUGUUGAAUUCAACUUGACCAUUGAACUUGAGCUGGCUGUACUCUUUUUCCCUUUCUAGGGUUUUCUCACAAGGGUGAGUUUUUACCUAUGAAGGUUUUUAAUGAGGCAGCCAA